AUUUUUUAAUAUUAAACAAAUUUCUGGUGAUUUUUAUUCUGGCGAUUUUAAGCACUAAUAUGCAAAAAGUGAUAUCCACAAAACGAUUUAAUACUAUUUCUAUACAACAGUAUUUUUGCACUCUUUCUACCAUUCUUGAUCCCGUUUUAAGAUAUUUCUAGAACCAGAAUUUACUUUUGAUUAAUAUUGGAUUGGCGUCUUUCUUUUGGCUUUUUGACUUCAACCUAUUAAAACCUAAAACGUGCUAAGUGAUUUUGAAGAAAUUAUAAUUUUUACAAAAAGUGUAUAAAGUGUUAUAGUUAACAACUUAAAUUUAAAUUUCAACAAGUGAAAAUAUAAUAAUCCAGAUAUCGGAAAAUUUGCCUAAAAAACUGUACUGGACCACGUUUCACUUUCAAGUCCCGUUGUUAUAUAACUGUACUGGACCACGCUUCCUUUCUCAAGUCCCGUCGUUACAUAAUAGGCAUACUUGCCUGGGACUUGGAAAUAACAGUUGGAAAUUUUAGUGUCUAUAUUGUUCGUCUUGGAAAGAUUAGAUUUAAACGAUUUAAACGACACAUAUCUCAUGAAAAAGUGGUAACAACAUCCAGCAGUAUUCAACAUUUCAACGUGAUUUGUAACCAACUAAAUACAAGAAAAAAAAAGUCAAAGGAAGAAUUAGGCUUCAAGAUAAAUUCGGAAAAGUAGCAAAAGCUUGGAAGCAUCUUCAGAAAAGUUUGCCAAAAGUCCAGUAAUCAAAAUCUAACAAUAUAAUUUAAAUUAUUUAACAAAAUCCUAAAUAUUACAUAUCCAAUUCCAAUCUAACUUAAAUUUUAAAAUCACAUUUCAUACAUAUUGAGAUAACCUAAAUUUUUGAAAAUGGUUUCUUAAAAACUAAAAUAACUCAACCAAAA